UACGUAGGGUGCAAGCGUUAAUCGGAAUUACUGGGCGUAAAGCGUGCGCAGGCGGUUUUGUAAGACUGUCGUGAAAUCCCCGGGCUCAACCUGGGAAUUGCAUUUGUGACUGCACGGCUAGAGUGUGUCAGAGGGGGGUAGAAUUCCACGUGUAGCAGUGAAAUGCGUAGAUAUCUGGAGGAACACCGGUGGCGAAGGCGGCAUUCUGGACUGUAACUGACACUGAGGAACGAAAGCCAGGGGAGCAAACGGG
rnacentral:rRNA from 1 species